ACGGCUCAGUAACACGUGGAUAACCUGCCCUAUGNUCUGGGAUAACCUCGGGAAACUGAGAAUAAUACCGGAUAGAUCACAACGCCUGGAACGGUGUGUGGUUGAAAGGUUACGGCAUAGGAUGGGUCUGCGGCGUAUCAGGUUGUAGGGGGUGUAAUGGACCCCCUAGCCAUCGACGCGUACGGGUGUUGGGAGACAUAGCCCGGAGAUGGAUUCUGAGACACGAAUCCGGACCCUACGGGGUGCAGCAGGCGCGAAAACUUCACACUGCAGGAAACUGUGAUGAGGGAACUCCAAGUGGAUGCACAUAGUGUAUCUCUUUUCUUUACUAUUAAUCGGUAUUGGAAUAAGGGCUGGGAAAGACCGGUGCCAGCCGCCGCGGUAAUACCGGCAGCUCGAGUGGUCGUCGCUUUUAUUGGGCCUAAAACGUCCGUAGCCGGUUUGGUAAAUCUGUGGGUAGAUCAAUUAGCUUAACUAGUUGAAUUCUGCAGAGACUGCCAGACUAGGAACCGGGAGAGGUGUGGGGUACUCAAGGGGUAGGGGUAAAAUCCUGUCAUCCUUUGAGGACCACCAGUUGCGAAGGCGCCACACUAGAACGGAUUCGACGGUCAGGGACGAAGCCUAGGGGCACGAACCGGAUUAGAUACCCGGGUAGUCCUAGGUGUAAACGCUGUGAACUUGGUGUCGGGAGUCCGCAAUGGGCCCCCGGUGCCGGAGUGAAGGUGUUAAGUUCACUGCCUGGGGAGUACGGUCGCAAGGCUGAAACUUAAAGGAAUUGGCGGGGGAGCAC
rnacentral:rRNA from 1 species